UUUUCUAAUAUAUAUAAAAAGAUACGGAUCGAAGCGGAUAUUCGAUUUUUUAAAAAACAAUAUU
rnacentral:sRNA from 1 species